AGAGUUUGAUCAUGGCUCAGAUUGAACGCUGGCGGCAGGCCUAACACAUGCAAGUCGAACGGUAACAGGAAACAGCUUGCUGUUUCGCUGACGAGUGGCGGACGGGGGAGUAAUGUCUGGGAAACUGCCUGAUGGAGGGGGAUAACUACUGGAAACGGUAGCUAAUACCGCAUAACGUCGCAAGACCAAAGAGGGGGACCUUCGGGCCUCUUGCCAUCGGAUGUGCCCAGAUGGGAUUAGCUUGUUGGUGGGGUAACGGCUCACCAAGGCGACGAUCCCUAGCUGGUCUGAGAGGAUGACCAGCCACACUGGAACUGAGACACGGUCCAGACUCCUACGGGAGGCAGCAGUGGGGAAUAUUGCACAAUGGGCGCAAGCCUGAUGCAGCCAUGCCGCGUGUAUGAAGAAGGCCUUCGGGUUGUAAAGUACUUUCAGCGGGGAGGAAGGGAGUAAAGUUAAUACCUUUGCUCAUUGACGUUACCCGCAGAAGAAGCACCGGCUAACUCCGUGCCAGCAGCCGCGGUAAUACGGAGGGUGCAAGCGUUAAUCGGAAUUACUGGGCGUAAAGCGCACGCAGGCGGUUUGUUAAGUCAGAUGUGAAAUCCCCGGGCUCAACCUGGGAACUGCAUCUGAUACUGGCAAGCUUGAGUCUCGUAGAGGGGGGUAGAAUUCCAGGUGUAGCGGUGAAAUGCGUAGAGAUCUGGAGGAAUACCGGUGGCGAAGGCGGCCCCCUGGACGAAGACUGACGCUCAGGUGCGAAAGCGUGGGGAGCAAACAGGAUUAGAUACCCUGGUAGUCCACGCCGUAAACGAUGUCGACUUGGAGGUUGUGCCCUUGAGGCGUGGCUUCCGGAGCUAACGCGUUAAGUCGACCGCCUGGGGAGUACGGCCGCAAGGUUAAAACUCAAAUGAAUUGACGGGGGCCCGCACAAGCGGUGGAGCAUGUGGUUUAAUUCGAUGCAACGCGAAGAACCUUACCUGGUCUUGACAUCCACGGAAGUUUUCAGAGAUGAGAAUGUGCCUUCGGGAACCGUGAGACAGGUGCUGCAUGGCUGUCGUCAGCUCGUGUUGUGAAAUGUUGGGUUAAGUCCCGCAACGAGCGCAACCCUUAUCCUUUGUUGCCAGCGGUCCGGCCGGGAACUCAAAGGAGACUGCCAGUGAUAAACUGGAGGAAGGUGGGGAUGACGUCAAGUCAUCAUGGCCCUUACGACCAGGGCUACACACGUGCUACAAUGGCGCAUACAAAGAGAAGCGACCUCGCGAGAGCAAGCGGACCUCAUAAAGUGCGUCGUAGUCCGGAUUGGAGUCUGCAACUCGACUCCAUGAAGUCGGAAUCGCUAGUAAUCGUGGAUCAGAAUGCCACGGUGAAUACGUUCCCGGGCCUUGUACACACCGCCCGUCACACCAUGGGAGUGGGUUGCAAAAGAAGUAGGUAGCUUAACCUUCGGGAGGGCGCUUACCACUUUGUGAUUCAUGACUGGGGUGAAGUCGUAACAAGGUAACCGUAGGGGAACCUGCGGUUGGAUCACCU
rnacentral:rRNA from 1 species